CAUUAAGUAACUUAAAAUUCAAAGUAAUGGUCUCUUAAACCAAUAUAUAGUAUAUUAAUAAAUACUCUUAAUGA
rnacentral:tRNA from 1 species